GCCGGAGUAGCUCAGUUGGUAGAGCAGGGCUUUUGUAAAGCUCAGGCCGUCGGUUCAAGUCCGACCUCCGGCU
rnacentral:tRNA from 1 species